ACGCUAAAGGCUGCGCCUCUGUACUUUUACACAUAUUCUCAAUAAAUUGCAUGUUAGAAACAUAAUAUCGCUGAUCCCGCGGGCCAUUGUCAUUAUCAACUUAACCCCAGCCUAGGCUGGUCGUCUUCUAAUUUGCACAAGGCAAUCAAAGGACGGGGACUCUCCUGGUAACGGCGCGACUAGAAAGAAACCGAGACCAUAAAUCUCGCUCAAACUCUUUUUUCAGAUAAUUCUAAGAUGCCUCCCUCAAUUCCUCCUACGUUUUUAAUUGCUUGUGGUAUUUUUCCUGAGCUGAGAGGUAGUGUUGCCAGGCAAUUACAAAGAAAGCACUGGAAUCCAUUCGAAAGGUGGCUGUGGUGCGGCGGUGGGUGAAUUCAUUCCUGCAGUAGCAGACUUCCUAGGACACUUUCAGAUCUUCAAGGAUAUAUAUAUACGUGUGUCUCUUUCUCUCUCUAUAUAUACAUAUACAUACAUAUAUAUAUGAGGUCAUUAUGAACCAGGCUUUAAGAUCAAAAUGACGCUAUAGAUCAAAAUGACUAUAUCAUAGUAUCAAAGCUAUGAUACUUUGACUGCAAUAGCUCCUGAUGUAAUGCUUAGUCCGUAGUUGUACAAAGAACUUUGUGCAGACAGAGGUCCGUAUGGCACCCCGCUGAAGUCAGCAGAUACUGGCACAAGCAUGUGAUGAAUUCAUGAGUAGAGCAGUGUUAAUGAUUUCUCACCCCAUGCAGGUAUGUCCUUUUUGCAUUUUAUACAUACAUUUUCUGAUUUAUAAUAAUAAUAACAACAACAACAACAAUAAUAAAAAUAGUCAUAACAAUUAUAUAUUUAAAGACCAUGUAGACUGCCCAUUUGCUAUGGAAUCAAGAAAGGGGGAAACGCUUUUAUUAGUGACAACCGUCUCAUAUAUUUGGCAAUGAAUGCAAGAUUGUGUGUUCGUAAAACAUUAAAUCACUGUAGCGUGGUAUCAGAAUACAUGCUUUUAUAAUCUAAUGCUAUUUAAGUUUUCACAUCAUGUGAACUGUAAUAUACAGUAGCAAAGAACAGACAUUCCUUUUCCCCUCGGACGGUACAGAUGUUUUGUGCUCCCAGAGAGCUUUCUAAAAGAGACGCACACUAUUACUAUGUAUCUAUUAUAACAUUAUUAGCUACACUUCUAAUUAAUCCUUAGGAAUUCCAGGCAUUUUUCAUUUAGUUCUUAGCAAAGGAAAGGAAAAAAAUAGAAGAAGGUGCCUUAACAACUAUUUGCCUUAUAGAGUUCAUAAAUGAGCCCAUCACCCUAUACCAGAACUGGUAUAAUUUUAUCGGAAUGAAAACCAUUCUCUUUGAUCUCCUCCAGUUCUUAAAUCCAGCAGUUGUGUAUUCGAACAUCAAUGGAAAUGUGGUUUCAAGCUUCCUCUUUCAUUAUCUUUCUCAAAGAUAAAAAAGAGCAAAAGAAAAAAAAAAAGUUCUGAGCUUUGGAGAUGAGGCAAUAUUUUUACAGUAAUUUCUUUAUCUGAUUUCAUCCUGUUUACAGAAGCUGCUGCUUGGAGGAUCUCUCCCCCUCCCCCAACCAUUUUUAAGAUGGCUUUUCUUUAAAUAAAUUUAUAAUAAAAAAAAAAAUAAAAUGCACAACAGCCUCGGCUUCCUGCUUGCUCUUUAUUAUAAAGGAGAUAAGGUUGCUAAAUGCUAUAAUGUCUGACUUAGGUUCAGUGUGUGACCUACAUGGAUCAAGAUGGAGAUUUAAUGAUUAAUCUUAACUCCUUUAUCUUCAGCAAGGAGGGAAAACUACCCAAACAAACCACUUUAUGUUCUGGGAAGGCAGAAUUACAGUUCAACACAAUAAUUAACUAUCUGACACAUUCCUACAAGCCUGCAGAUGUUGUUAACGGUUUUGAAAUGCCCCCUUCUUGUUUUCAUAACCCACCGCUCUUCUCAGCGGUGAAAACAAGCACACCCUCUAAAGAGGGUCAGGGUUGGGAAAAUGCAUUUCAUCUCCUCUCGGCUGAUGCUUGCUUACCACAGGUGUGUUGUGGGCUUAUUUCAGAUCAGUUAUGGACAAAUUUAGGGGUGUGCUGCUCACCUGAAGCAGCCCCCUGCUACUCUCUUCCACCUAGCCAGUACCCUGCAUCUUGCUAACCCAUAUCCACAACCAAGACCGUCCUUGAAAGAUGUCCUGAUCUUGCUUGCCUAGUCAGCUCGGCCCAUCCAAGUCAUCACUGCAUGGUCUUUCUCAAUUAGUAAGUUAGGGAAGGAAACUCCCUUCUUUUGGUGUCUUCCAAAUCGGUGUUUUCUUGAUAACUCGGAGUCCUACCUGGCCUCAAGAAUCUUAAAUUAAUCAGAGUGAACUUCAAGAAGUUCAAAGUCUCCGUUCAGAUAAGGCAGCAGAAGUUGCAGACAUCCAACCCAAGGAAGGGUUGUAUAAAAGUGCUGGCAGUGCAGCGCAAAACCGUGUGAAACUUUGAGGUUUUCUUUACAAACUUCAGGUUCAACCUGGGUUCACUGAAAGACCUGCUGAGGUUUAUAAAUACAUUGAACGAAAUGUGGAUGAAGUGGAUGCUGGGUCUGGUUUAUGGUUUUGCAUAAAAGCCACGGGACAUGCAGUGAUUUCAAUGGAGUUUGCUCUUACUGUUAUUGUAAAACUCCAAGGCUGCUGUCAUCCACGGGGAUCUGAGCUGCAGGAAAUAUUUGUAUGAACUCCCGCAGUGACAUGAAAGCACUGAGUUACACGCACCAUCAACCCAAACCUCUUGCAUCUGUAAAACAGAAUUGGAAAGCCUGUGAAAACAGCUUUUCGUACAAGCUUGCUUAUCCUUCUUGCUUCAAGACAGAUCAGAAAUACAUCAGUGGAUGUCUUUUCCAUGGUAGGCGAGUAUGUCUGCUCUCUGGGGAAUCAGUGAAUCUCCCAUCCUGGCAAAUGGGGCAUGCUCUAGCCCAUUUGGGGGGGAAUAUAUAACUGCAUUUAUCUUCAGAAACCCCUCCUGAGGUUUCCGAUGAGCUCUUUCAGAUGCAGAAGGGAGCCCAAGACGGUGAAGAAGCCUCAAAAGCAGCAGCACUUCACUGUGUCCAGCAGACAGAGCUGAAAGACAUUUAUUCUCAUGAAUUAGCAUGCAACUUAGCGGCACGUUGCACAGGUGGUUAAGACUGCACAGUGCUGUAACAGUGGAGAAGUCUUGCCAGAAAACAUCGUGCCGCUUAACUGAUCUCAGCCCUUGCUGGUUCGACGUCCUGGAAGGAGGCAGCGUGGAACUGCAAUGCUCGCCCGUCUUUCAGUCCAGAGAAAUUUCCUGUCUGGAAUGCAAUGAAUGUCACGGUCGGGACUGAGCAUCUUCCAAAAGAUCCUCUUUAGUACAAGGGGAAAGGCUUGCAGCUGCGACUUUGAAUCGGUUUCUCAAUAACAUUUUCUUGGCCUCUGUAUCAAUUGGGAUUAGAUCAUUGUCUCUCUUGUUCAUCUUUACUUGGAAAGUUUGCAGCUUUAGACUUCUCAAGCCUGCCAGCAUGGCUUGAAAUUAUAGUGUUAAGGAAACAAUUACCUAGUGACUAAAAACUGGAGUUUUCUCAGUUUACUGAAGAAAAAGAGAUGGACACAAACCAGAACGCGGGUGCCCUAGCCUCUUGCACAGACAGAAAGGUGCAAUGGAAGAGGGAGCCUAUUUCCAGAGUGCAGCGAUGCUCUUUCCUCUGAAGGGGCUCUUCUCUUUGAGGGGAGAAAGUGGGAGGACGCAUGGUUCAAACUUCUGGACUACUGCACACUUCCAGAAUCAAUUACCGAACAACACAUCCAAGCAGGCUUGGUCUUUGGGGAGGUUUGGGUUUGGAGCUCAGUCAAGAUCCAAACUCUGUGAUUCAGUUCUCAAAAAUCAAAGCAGAAAGAAUUGCUUUCAAAGAGCAAAUCCAGAAGACAAGAGAGGCUGCUAACACCACGCGAGGAAACCAGAAAGUGUUUCGCUGUUGUCGCACGGGCCAUGUGAAUGACCCCGGUUGUCACACGGAGAGAGGGGGACAUUGCAUGAAAUAAAAUAUAAAACAAUUAGACCGUAAGGAGCUCGGGGUGGACAGAGGUCCACUUCACAGGGAUUCACACAAACAUUUUCUUUGGCUUCCAUCCAGACGGCCAUGCACCCUUUGAGUCACUUAAACAAACCUAAACUCAGAAAGCAAAACUGUGUCAGACCUUCUGAGUUUCAGCCGGUUUCAUGUCAGCACCACUGGGAAUGGCAAAUUUCACAUGAUUUUGAUGCAAAAAACCAUGGAUCUGCUCAGAAGGGCCGUGUUCCUUAAAUAGCUUUCCAUGCAGGUUGGCUAAAAGCUUACGGCAAAUUUCAUAUGGUUUGGAGCUGUGUUGUGAGCUUUCUGCGCGGCUCUGUACAACAUCGUGCAAAGCUUUCUUCACAGGCAGGGAUAGAGUAACAAAGCUGAGAUACGGAUCCAAAGAUUUCCUGAAUUUGAAGGAGAUAUUCAGAUUUGAAGCAUUAUAGAGAAAGCUUUGGCUCCGUAUUCAGUUUCCGUCAUCCGUGCCCGAAGUUCAAGCCUUCGGAUCCAAGGGCUGAAUUCAAAUCCAGCUCUAGACUGGCUGGUGACAGAAAUCUGGGGCACAAAAAACUAGGAAGCUGGCCCACGUGAGAAAAUGGAUCUGGGAUGGAUCUGCUCAAGCAGCCUGGUUUUUCUUUUAUUUUGCUUGGGGCUGUUUUUGGGAAGGGUCAGAGACAUGCAGAACAAACUUUUUUUGUCUGCAAAGUGCAGAGCGAGCUGCUUGCCCUCAACAAAUAAUAAUACACCAAAUAAUCAUGAGGCCCAAAAUAAAGUCCUUCUGUAAUUAC